GCAGAUUCCCUGCUGAGUAGGGGGCCUGUUGCAGGGCUCGAUUCUAGGACCUGGGAUCACGACCUGAGCUGUAGUCAGAUGCUUAACCCUCUGAGCCACCCAGGUACCCCUAGCACAAUUUCUAAUACAAAGUAGGAGCUCCAUAAAUAUUUGUCCAGUGAGCAACUUGUCACGUACUAAAUCAUACUUCAGGAACUGUUUUGUUGGGUCUAAUUCUGUCUCCACAUUGAGACAGUCAUCAGAUAACCAAUUUGCAGCUCCUUGGUGCAUUAUGGCCCCAUUAUUCAGGCAGGCUCUGCUAAAUUCAUUAUAAUAUGAAUAAUGCUACUUUUAUUUUUCAAUUUUUUUAUGUUUGGAGAUGUUACAGCAUCCAGUGCCUACAGUUUGUGAUCUAUACAGACAUUUUCUGAUCUUUUACAAAGCUUGAGAACUAAGCUUUGACAUGUGUAAUGCUACUUUAAAUUUUUCGUUGGCAUGCUAUAAAUAGUGCCUAGUAAAGGUGAAGUAGCCUUCCUUUCAGACUUGAGUUUUGUAACUUGCAGUGUGAACUAUCCAGGAGGGUCACUAGAUGCUCUAAAAUUUAAUGCAAAAUAUUAUAUGUAUAGACAUUUUUCUGGAAAGAGAACCCAUAAUUUCUAUUAUGUUAGGAAAGGGAUAAAUGACUCCAAAAAAUUUAAACAGUGCAAUAAUACCUUACAUUUUACAUUGUGCCAUAAUCAUAAAUCAAAAGCUCUUUACAUACAUUAUUGCCUAAGCACUCUGAAACAAAAAGGGAAAGCUUCUAUUCUAGAUUUGAAUACAUAAAAAAAAACACCAAUUUAGCUACAUGGAGUAGAACUGGAAUUAAAAGGAAAAUUGGCCCAUAUCCAAAAGUGGGCUAGGUAAAUUCUACACAGAAUUCUUAAGAAUUUCAGACUAGUAUUAUUACAUAUUUUCUGAAAAAUAAAUUUUAAUGUUCAAAUUACUGUAUAGACUGUCAGAAAAAUAAAUCCAGAGAUUAUAUAAGUACUAUUUUGAUUAUUGGAAAAUACUAUUAUAAGUUCAGUUCACUUGUUUCUUGGUUACUGAAAUAUAAUUCAAAAUGAGAAGCAAUGGAGCAGGAGCCAAUUUCAGAGGGAUCCUAAUCUUUAUUUCUUUCAGUGCAUGGUUCAGGUUUUCCAUUAAUAAAAAUGUGUGGUGUUUUAAUAUGUACAACAGACUAGAAUAUCAUAAAUGUGAAAUGAGGUUAAUUUUAUUGAACUUGCUAACUUGCUUAGUCUAGGUGAAAAUGAAGUUCCUGACAUAAGACUAGAAUAUACCUGAACCGUGGAUGAAAAAGAAGUCAGUCAGUUCAAUGAAGGGGUAUUAAAGUAUGGAAAGGAGUCUUUGAGGGAAUGAGGUGGAGGAGCAAAGGGCCUCAUUCAGAUUUUCCAAAUAAUCCCGUCACCAAAUAAGAAAGCAUUCAUCUAUUCCUCUUUGGAAUAUUAAGGAAUAUGUUAAAGACGUUUGGUUUGCCUUGAUAAAUUUGGUGCUUUGGAGCUCUGAAACAUCUUUUGGCAUAUCAACUUGCAGUCCACCUGCAAGUUUAGUUUUAUUAACUUGGGGAAUGAGAAAAUGUGGAGGGAAAAUUUGUGGUAGAAUAUAGGAGGGGGACAGAGCUGAGACUCAGAAGCCUGAAAAAUCUGUCUUGCUUCAGUAAUAUAAUCUAGUCUCCUUUGUCAGUAGGCCGAAGCACAUUACUGAGUAUCAUCACAGAAAUGAAUUUCUGAAGAAAAGUACUGUAAUCAAAGCCUUUUAAUGAGAAAAAAGCCAGCCAAACCAGUCUAAGUCACCCCGAGGUUCUCAGCUCCUAUGAGGAAGUACUUUAAUGAGUGAUCAACUAUUGUUGUCAAAAGAGAUGGCUACAGAGAGUGCCUGGAUUCAUCUGCAUUAAAACCCCUGGAGAAUUUUUAUAGGUUGAAC